rnacentral:rRNA from 1 species
UGGGGAAUUUUGGACAAUGGGGGCAACCCUGAUCCAGCCAUGCCGCGUGAGUGAAGAAGGCCUUCGGGUUGUAAAGCUCUUUCGCAAGGGAAGAAAACUUAGAUCCUAAUACGGUCUGAGGAUGACGGUACCUUGAUAAGAAGCACCGGCUAACUACGUGCCAGCAGCCGCGGUAAUACGUAGGGUGCGAGCGUUAAUCGGAAUUACUGGGCGUAAAGCGUGCGCAGGCGGUUUCGUAAGUCAGAUGUGAAAGCCCCGGGCUCAACCUGGGAACUGCGUUUGAAACUGCGAGGCUAGAGUGUGUCAGAGGGGGGUAGAAUUCCACGUGUAGCAGUGAAAUGCGUAGAGAUGUGGAGGAACACCGAUGGCGAAGGCAGCCCCCUGGGAUAACACUGACGCU